AGUCAGGUGUGCCAAAUUAGGGUUUAAAUGAGAACCUACUGGACGGUCGAUCUCCAGGAAGAGGGCUGGGCAGCUCUUCUCACUGCAGUCUACUGGGCAGCACUUAGACGCUUCGUGGUAAGAUCAGAGGCGUGGUUUCCCUGAUGCAUGCUCAGAGGAGAGGGGUCUUUACGAGGUCAAACGCAGCAGAUGUUCGUGGCCAGAAGUCUCGAAGCCCAGCUGCCCUGGCAGUUUGGAGUCUGGCAGCCCCCCCGGCCCCCCCCCCCCCCCCUGUCGCUGUGACGUGAUUAAAGCGCUAGUCAGUUUGGACAGAUCCAGCACCCCCGCGGCGGGCACCACCCCGUAAGCGAGACAUCACGACUGAGCGGUCAUUCCGCUGGGUCUGUCUCCGGACUCCUCCCAGGCAAAGCCGUCAACGCAGAGCCGCUUACUGGACCCCUGUUCAUGUUCGCUGUCUUUUUGCCAUCAGUUCUAUAGUGGGUCUCUCCAUUAACCUCUGGUUUGUGUCCGCGUGGGUUUCCUCCGGGGUUUCCAAAGACAUGCAGGUGGGCUCAUCGCCGUGGCGACUGCUUCCCACAAUAAACACAGCUUUGGCCGAUCUGAGCAUUUUGGUAUCCAUAUUAUUUAAACACAUUAUUGCUCUUAGAUAGAUGCUGUCAGUUGCAACUCAAUUUGAAAUAAACAGCAGUUGUAGUUACUUA